rnacentral:rRNA from 1 species
AGAGUUUGAUCCUGGCUCAGGAUGAACGCUGGCGGCGUGCUUAACACAUGCAAGUCGAGCGAAAGUAAAUUGGUAGAGGCUUUGACUUUUGUAGUUAUUUUAGUCGGCGGACGGGUGGGUAACGUGUGGGCAACUACCUUUACUGUGGAUAAUCGUUGGAAACGACGACUAAUACCGCAUACGGUUCUUGGAAGGCAUCUUCUAAGAAAGAAAGGAGGUAAUUCGGUAAAAGAUGGGCCCGCAUCUGAUUAGCUAGUUGGUGAGAUAAUAGCCCACCAAGGCAACGAUCAGUAGCCGACCUGAGAAGGUGACCGGCCACAUUGGGACUGAGACACGGCCCAAACUCCUACGGGAGGCAGCAGUGGGGAAUAUUGCACAAUGGGCGAAAGCCUGAUGCAGCAACGCCGCGUGAAGGAAGACGGUUUUCGGAUUGUAAACUUCUAUCAAUAGGGAAGAAAGAAAUGACGGUACCUAAAUAAGAAGCCCCGGCUAACUACAUG